AUUGAACGCUGGCGCCAUGCCUAACACAUGCAAGUCGAACGGUAACAGGAAGAAGCUUGCUUCUUUGCUGACGAGUGGCGGACGGGUGAGUAAUGUCUGGGAAACUGCCUGAUGGAGGGGGAUAACUGCUGGAAACGGUAGCUAAUACCGCAUAACGUCGCAAGACCAAAGAGGGGGACCUUCGGGCCUCUUGCCAUCGGAUGUGCCCAGACGGGAUUAGCUAGUAGGUGGGGUAACGGCUCACCUAGGCGACGAUCCCUAGCUGGUCUGAGAGGAUGACCAGCCACACUGGAACUGAGACACGGUCCAGACUCCUACGGGAGGCAGCAGUGGGGAAUAUUGCACAAUGGGCGCAAGCCUGAUGCAGCCAUGCCGCGUGUAUGAAGAAGGCCUUCGGGUUGUAAAGUACUUUCAGCGGGGAGGAAGGGAGUAAAGUUAAUACCUUUGCUCAUUGACGUUACCCGCAGAAGAAGCACCGGCUAACUCCGUGCCAGCAGCCGCGGUAAUACGGAGGGUGCAAGCGUUAAUCGGAAUUACUGGGCGUAAAGCGCACGCAGGCGGUUUGUUAAGUCAGAUGUGAAAUCCCCGGGCUCAACCUGGGAACUGCAUCUGAUACUGGCAAGCUUGAGUCUCGUAGAGGGGGGUAGAAUUCCAGGUGUAGCGGUGAAAUGCGUAGAGAUCUGGAGGAAUACCGGUGGCGAAGGCGGCCCCCUGGACGAAGACUGACGCUCAGGUGCGAAAGCGUGNGGAGCAAACAGG
rnacentral:rRNA from 1 species